rnacentral:rRNA from 1 species
GAUGAACGCUAGCUACAGGCUUAACACAUGCAAGUCGAGGGACCGGCGCACGGGUGAGUAACACGUAUCCAACCUGCCCUUUACUCGGGGAUAGCCUUUCGAAAGAAAGAUUAAUACCCGAUAUAAAGGUUGGUGAUGCGUUCCAUUAGGUUGUUGGUGAGGGAACGGCCCACCAAGACAGCGAUGGAUAGGGGUGCUGAGAGGAGGGUCCGCCACAUUGGAACUGAGACACGGUCCAAACUCCUACGGGAGGCAGCAGUGGGGAAUAUUGGGCAAUGGGCGUUAGCCUGAACCAGCAAAGUAGCGUGAAGGAUGAAGGCUUCGGGUUGUAAAGUACUUUCAGCGGGGAGGCGUUACCCGCAGAAGAAGCACCGGCUAACUCCGUGCCAGCAGCCGCGGUAAUAC